ensembl:lncRNA
CCCUCUGGUUGUAACACAGAAGCUUUUUGAGUAACAUAUUCUUUUUUCUCUUUUUAAUACAAAUCCAGCCUGGCAGGCACAGUGCUAUGUGGAGACUGGACUGAAUCAAAGCAACAUUCUCCUACUUUUCCCGUGUAUAGGAAGUGAUACUAACAAGAAUCAGAUUUGCCUGGACCCGUAACAGAGGAAACAACUUCUGGCACAGUAAUUCUUUGAACUGGAACCAUGAGGAUUCUGACAACUUUUAUUCCAUGGAACUGUAAAGGAUCUUGUACCUGCAUAGAUGGCAUAAAAACAGUCCUGAGUUCCCAGGUGGCAAACAAUACCAACUUUUCUUCCUCAUGAUGAUUUCCAGAAGUGAACUAAGGAAAUCCAGAACAUACUGCCUUCUUAGGAAACAUGAUGCCAGAGUUACUAGAAAAAAGAUGAAAAGCAAGUCAAAGUGAUUAUUUGAUGUCAUGUAAAAAACGUUGUCCUGAGUUUAUUACAACCUUUAACAAUUGAAUAUGGC